rnacentral:rRNA from 1 species
AUACGGAGGGUGCAAGCGUUAUCCGGAAUCAUUGGGUUUAAAGGGUCCGCAGGCGGAUUAAUAAGUCAGUGGUGAAAUCCUCUCGCUCAACGAGAGAACUGCCAUUGAAACUGUUAGUCUUGAAUUCGGUCGAAGUAGGCGGAAUGUGUCAUGUAGCGGUGAAAUGCAUAGAUAUGACACAGAACACCGAUAGCGAAGGCAGCUUACUAGACCUGGAUUGACGCUCAUGGACGGAAGCGUGGGGAGCGAACAGGAUUAGAAACCCCAGUAGUCC